UACGUAGGCAGCGAGCGUUGUUCGGAGUUACUGGGCGUAAAGGGUGUGUAGGCGGUUUUCUAAGUUUGGUGUGAAAUCUCCCGGCUCAACCGGGAGGGUGCGCCGAAAACUGGGAGACUAGAGUGCGGGAUGGGAGAGUAGAAUUCCUGGUGUAGCGGUGAAAUGCGUAGAUAUACAGGAGGAAUACCGGUGGUGUAGACGGCUCUCUGGACCGCCACUGACGCUGAGACACGAAAGCGUGGGUAGCAAACAGG
rnacentral:rRNA from 1 species